rnacentral:rRNA from 1 species
AUUGAACGCUGGCGGCAUGCCUUACACAUGCAAGUCGAACGGCAGCACGGGAGCAAUCCUGGUGGCGAGUGGCGAACGGGUGAGUAAUACAUCGGAACGUGCCCAGUAGUGGGGGAUAGCCCGGCGAAAGCCGGAUUAAUACCGCAUGAGACCUGAGGGUGAAAGCGGGGGAUCGCAAGACCUCGCGCUAUUGGAGCGGCCGAUGUCAGAUUAGCUAGUUGGUAGGGUAAAGGCCUACCAAGGCAACGAUCUGUAGUUGGCCUGAGAGGACGACCAGCCACACUGGGACUGAGAAACGGCCCAGACUCCUACGGGAGGCAGCAGUGGGGAAUUUUGGACAAUGGGCGCAAGCCUGAUCCAGCAAUGCCGCGUGCAGGAAGAAGGCCUUCGGGUUGUAAACUGCUUUUGUCAGGGAAGAAAUCUUCUGGGCUAAUACCCUGGGAGGAUGACGGUACCUGAAGAAUAAGCACCGGCUAACUACGUGCCAGCCGCCGCCGUAA